rnacentral:rRNA from 1 species
CCCUUAGAUGUUCUGGGCCGCACGCGUGCUACACUGAGUGGAUCAGCGGGUCAGGUUGCGCGAAAGCGUUUCCUAAUCUUGAAAUCCGCUCGUGAUGGGGAUUGACGGUUGCAACUUUCUGUCAUGAACGAGGAAUACCUUGUAAGCGCGAGUCAUCAUCCCGCGCUGAAUACGUCCCUGCCCUUUGUACACACCGCCCGUCGCUCCUACCGAUUGAGUGGUCCGGUGAGGCUUUGGGAUCUGAGCGGAAAGAGCGUUUCGCUCGUUCUGCCCGGAAAACUCAGUCGAACCUUAUCAUUUAGAGGAAGGAGAAGUCGUAACA